rnacentral:rRNA from 1 species
AACCUGCCCACUGAGGAUUUAAAUGGCCGCGGUAUUUUGACCGUGCAAAGGUAGCAUAAUAAUUAGUUUUUUAAUUGAAAGCUGGUAUGAAAGGUUGGAUGAGAAAAUGGCUGUCUCUAUUUAGAUUAGUUAAAAUUUUAUUUUUAAGUAAAAAAGCUUAAAUGAAAAUAGAAGACGAGAAGACCCUAUAGAGUUUUAAAUUAGUUGGGGUGAUUGAAAAAUUUAAUAAACUUUUUUUAUAUAAAACCAUUGAUUUAUGAAUAAUUGAUCCUUUAUUAAAGAUUAAAAGAAAAAAUUACCUUAGGGAUAACAGCGUAAUUUUUUUAGAGAGUUCAAAUCGAAAAAAAAGAUUGCGACCUCGAUGUUGGAUUAAAAUUAAGUCUUGGUGUAGAAGCUAA